UACGUAGGGCGCAAGCGUUAUCCGGAAUUAUUGGGCGUAAAGAGCUCAUAGGCGGUUUGUCGCGUCUGCCGUGAAAGUCCGGGCUCAACUCCGGAUCUGCGGUGGGUACGGGCAGACUAGAGUGAUGUAGGGAGACUGGAAUUCCUGGUGUAGCGGUGAAAUGCGCAGAUAUCAGGAGGAACACCGAUGGCGAAGGCAGGUCUCUGGGCAUUAACUGACGCUGAGGAGCGAAAGCAGUGGGGAGCGAACAGG
rnacentral:rRNA from 1 species